GUUUCUAAAGGAUAACAGCUCAUCCCCUGGUCUUAGGAACCAAAAACUCUUGGUGCAAAUCCAAGUAGAAACU
rnacentral:tRNA from 1 species